UACAUUAUUAUUAUCAGGAAUUUUAGCCGAAACUGUUCAUUUGUAUGUGAGUCCUACUGGAUCUGAUGACCUAAGCAAUAAAGGAUUGUCGCCUGCGAGCCCACUUAAAACCUUACACAGAGCCCGAGACCGACUCGAUGAUUCAGAUAUCAAAGGAAAACAGGUCUUUGUGGAGUUAUUGAAAGGUUACCAUGAUCUUACAACUACGUUAAGUUUCUCCCACGGAUAUACCUCAC